GGCCCCUCCCUCCGUCACAGCCGCCGCCGCCCCCUCCUUCAAGGAUCAGGAUAAGGAUCAGAUGAUCAUGUCUUCACUAAAUUACUGUACGGUGAAUUGUGAUAACCUUCCUCUAUCUAUGACCAGUACUAUUGCUGAAUUGAACCAUCAUUCCUUGACCUUCCGAUUUUAAGAUUUAAUAUUGAUGUACAGUACAGUUAUCAACCAGCUAUUCCCCAAAUGUGGGGUUCUAGAUGUGAUGUACAUCUCUGUUUGAUCUUUGUGGAUUUUCAUUAAGAAAAGCUUGACACUUCUAACGUAUUCUAGUGGUGGCUCUCCAAGUGUGAGACCUGUUUAGCAUUCUAGCUUUGAGUUACAUUGUUUCCUGAUGCAUGAAACCUUUUGCCCCUGUAAUAGUUAUGUAAUGGCAGAGCUUUUGGAAGGAGUGGUGGCAUAUUAUAAUGGUUAUAAUGGUGUCUCGUGAUUCUCUUAGUUCGGCACAAUCUAAAUUCAUGCUGGUAUAUAUGUUCGCUUUCAUUAUUUUGUAACGUAUUGAAUACUACUCUGCACAUUAACCUUAGUACCAUAUCAUGUGUUGUUCCUAAAUGUUAGAUUUAUAUUUUUGCUGAAUGCAUGUCUUCUUAGCUGCAAGUAUCAGACGAAGGUAACAAUGUUAAUGGGCUACAAGGAACAACAAUGUAGAAGCUGGUUACCAUGAUGAAGUGAUGAUCGAUGUAGCAGAUGUGAGUGAGGAAGAAGCAAGUGCAAGCCAUGGUGCCCAGCCCGCUGCAACGCCGCCGCUCUUCUCGCUACCGGGAUCAGAGUCGACGGCCAUAGUCACCUAUCGCCUGUUGGAUCGUACGCCACUGCGUCAACUCUCAAGAGCCAGUUUGGAUUCGAUGGUCAUGUCAGCCCGCAGCAGUACGCUACUGUGGCACAUGCGCAUGGCGUUGGUUGAUUCCUACGACUUGGCGGCUCGUCAUCUGGUACAAGUACUCACAUCAUGGCACGGAGGCACCAAAUUUGGUUGAUCCACUUGAUCUCGUUACUAAAGGAAGCUCGAAGUUGCCGACAGUGACAAUAUUCUGACAGCAUCUAUCGUGCAUCGCCCAUGAAUGUUCUGUGCAUUGUGUGCCACUCACUAGAUGUUGUUUCAUUAAGCAAGAUGACACUCAGGAUCUCAACUCAAGUAGCUGCGGAUAGUGAUGCUUUCUUCUUUUUUUUCUUAAGAAUUUGUCUUCCCCUAUUUAAGGUGGGUCUUGAUAUUGUACAAAUGAAAUUAACGUACAGCGUGUGAAUAUAACUUUGGCAUUUGCAGUGUUGU